GACGAACGCUGGUGGCGUGCUUAACACAUGCAAGUCGAACGGGAUUUAGUAAACAGAAGCCUCGGUGGAAGAUUACUAAUGAGAGUGGCGAACGGGUGAGUAACGCGUGAGCAACCUGCCUAUGACAGUGGGAUAGCCUCGGGAAACCGGGAUUAAUACCGCAUAAAAUCGUAGAAACACAUGUUUUAACGGUCAAAGAUUUAUCGGUCAUAGAUGGGCUCGCGUCUGAUUAGCUAGUUGGUGAGAUAACAGCCCACCAAGGCGACGAUCAGUAGCCGGUCUGAGAGGAUGAACGGCCACAUUGGAACUGAGACACGGUCCAAACUCCUACGGGAGGCAGCAGUGGGGAAUAUUGCACAAUGGGGGAAACCCUGAUGCAGCGACGCCGCGUGAACGAAGAAGGUAUUCGUAUCGUAAAGUUCUGUCCUACGGGAAGAUAAUGACAGUACCAUAGAAGAAAGCUCCGGCUAAAUACGUG
rnacentral:rRNA from 1 species